rnacentral:rRNA from 1 species
GUGAGGAAUAUUGAGCAAUGGGCGAAAGCCUGACUCAGCAACGCCGCGUGGGCGAUGAAGGCCUUCGGGUCGUAAAGCCCUUUUCUGAGGGAUGAGGAAGGACGGUACCUCAGGAAUAAGUCACGGCUAACUACGUGCCAGCAGCCGCGGUAAUACGUAGGUGGCCAGCGUUAUCCGGAAUCAUUGGGCGUAAAGCGCGUGCAGGUGGGUUCGUAAGUCGGACGUGAAAUCUCCUGGCUUAACUGGGAGGGGCCGUCCGGAACUGCGGGCCUUGAGGUCGGGAGAGGGACGUGGAAUUCCCGGUGUAGUGGUGGAAUGCGUAGAUAUCGGGAGGAACACCAGUGGCGAAGGCGGCGUCCUGGCCCGCACCUGACACUCAGACGCGAAAGCGUGGGGAGCGAACGGGAUUAGAAACCCGAGUAGUCC